GACGAACGCUGGCGGCGUGCUUAACACAUGCCAGUCGAACGGUGAAGCGCCUUCCUUUUUGGUGGGUGUGGAUGAGUGGCGAACGGGUGAGUAACACGUGAGUAACCUGCCCCCUUCUUCUGGAUAACCGCAUGAAAGUGUGGCUAAUACGGGAUAUUCUGGGUCUGUCGCAUGAUGGGUCUGGGAAAGAUAUUGUUUCGGUGGGGGAUGGGCUCGCGGCCUAUCAGCUUGUUGGUGGGGUGAUGGCCUACCAAGGCGGUGACGGGUAGCCGGCCUGAGAGGGUGGACGGUCACAAUGGGACUGAGACACGGCCCAGACUCCUACGGGAGGCAGCAGUGGGGAAUAGUGCACAAUGGGCGCAAGCCUGAUGCAGCGACGCCGCGUGAGGGAUGGAGGCCUUCGGGUUGUGAACCUCUUUCGCCAGUGAAGCAGGCCUGCCUCGUUUGUGGGUGGGUUGACGGUAGCUGGAUAAGAAGCGCCGGCUAACUACGUG
rnacentral:rRNA from 1 species